rnacentral:rRNA from 1 species
GGAUGCGAUCAUACCAGCACUAAAGCACCGGAUCCCAUCAGAACUCCGAAGUUAAGCAUGCUUGGGCGAGAGUAGUACUAGGAUGGGUGACCUCUUGGGAAGUCCUUGUGUUGCAUUCC